UCCUCUGUAGCUCAGUUGGUUAGAGCGCUGCACCGGAAUCGCAGCCGCAGGUUCGAUUCCUGCCAGGGGCG
rnacentral:tRNA from 1 species